GAAUCUUGCGCAAUGGGCGAAAGCCUGACGCAGCGACGCCGCGUGCGGGAAGAAGGCCUUCGGGUUGUAAACCGCUUUCAGGAGGGAAGAAGCGUAAGUGACGGUACCUCCAGAAGAAGCCCCGGCCAACUACGUGCCAGCAGCUGCGGUAAUACGUAGGGGGCGAGCGUUGUCCGGAAUUAUUGGGCGUAAAGAGCUCGUAGGCGGUCCGUUAAGUCGGAAGUGAAAUCUCAAGGCUCAACCUUGAAACUGCUUUCGAUACUGGCGGACUUGAGGCAGGUAGGGGAAGGUGGAAUUCCUGGUGUAGCGGUGAAAUGCGCAGAUAUCAGGAGGAACACCGGUGGCGAAGGCGGCCUUCUGGGCCUGUUCUGACGCUGAGGAGCGAAAGCGUGGGGAGCAAACAG
rnacentral:rRNA from 1 species